AUUGAACGCUGGCGGCAGGCCUAACACAUGCAAGUCGAACGGUAACAGGAAACAGCUUGCUGUUUCGCUGACGAGUGGCGGACGGGUGAGUAAUGUCUGGGAAACUGCCUGAUGGAGGGGGAUAACUACUGGAAACGGUAGCUAAUACCGCAUAACGUCGCAAGACCAAAGAGGGGGACCUUCGGGCCUCUUGCCAUCGGAUGUGCCCAGAUGGGAUUAGCUAGUAGGCGGGGUAACGGCUCACCUAGGCGACGAUCCCUAGCUGGUCUGAGAGGAUGACCAGCCACACUGGAACUGAGACACGGUCCAGACUCCUACGGGAGGCAGCAGUGGGGAAUAUUGCACAAUGGGCGCAAGCCUGAUGCAGCCAUGCCGCGUGUAUGAAGAAGGCCUUCGGGUUGUAAAGUACUUUCAGCGGGGAGGAAGGGAGUAAAGUUAAUACCUUUGCUCAUUGACGUUACCCGCAGAAGAAGCACCGGCUAACUCCGUG
rnacentral:rRNA from 1 species